AGAGUUUGAUCAUGGCUCAGAUUGAACGCUGGCGGCAGGCUUAACACAUGCAAGUCGAGCGGAGUGAUGGUGCUUGCACUAUCACUUAGCGGCGGACGGGUGAGUAAUGCUUAGGAAUCUGCCUAUUAGUGGGGGACAACAUUUCGAAAGGAAUGCUAAUACCGCAUACGCCCUACGGGGGAAAGCAGGGGACCUUCGGGCCUUGCGCUAAUAGAUGAGCCUAAGUCAGAUUAGCUAGUUGGUGGGGUAAAGGCCUACCAAGGCGACGAUCUGUAGCGGGUCUGAGAGGAUGAUCCGCCACACUGGGACUGAGACACGGCCCAGACUCCUACGGGAGGCAGCAGUGGGGAAUAUUGGACAAUGGGGGGAACCCUGAUCCAGCCAUGCCGCGUGUGUGAAGAAGGCCUUUUGGUUGUAAAGCACUUUAAGCGAGGAGGAGGCUACUUAGACUAAUACUCUAGGAUAGUGGACGUUACUCGCAGAAUAAGCACCGGCUAACUCUGUGCCAGCAGCCGCGGUAAUACAGAGGGUGCGAGCGUUAAUCGGAUUUACUGGGCGUAAAGCGUGCGUAGGUGGUCUUUUAAGUCGGAUGUGAAAUCCCUGAGCUUAACUUAGGAAUUGCAUUCGAUACUGGGAGACUAGAGUAUGGGAGAGGAUGGUAGAAUUCCAGGUGUAGCGGUGAAAUGCGUAGAGAUCUGGAGGAAUACCGAUGGCGAAGGCAG
rnacentral:rRNA from 1 species